GUGAGUGGCAAUGGUUGGCAAAUUUCUAUUUAGUUUUUCCCGUUCUGUGUUUUUUAUGGUUUAGAUAUCUGCAUGCAGCUCAAGAUCAGACUUUGAAGCAGACUUUUUUCUGGAGGUUCUAGGUUUGUCUUGAUUUUGAAAAUACAGACAGACUAGCCACAUUUCUGUAUCACUAAAGAGUAUGAAUUCAUACAUUUAGUAUUUACGUAAGGUCAUUCUCAAAACUGUGACUGGUUAACUGGUCUGAUGUGUUGAGUUUGCUGUUUUGAGUGUGUGUGUGUGUGUGUGUGUUUUUAUUCUUCAGUGUCAAAAGAGUUAAACACUUGCCGAUCAGUUACCUAAACUACUGAACCUGGCACUGAAUCUCCUGUGUGUGAGAAACAGGUGACAAACACCUGUGGUGGCAGUGUGUUGUUUUUCUACGGCACCUGAAAUUAUGUAUUGUGAACCCUCAAUCUCUUAGAUGAGUAUGCGAAUGCGAUAAUUCAUGAAAAAAGAACAAAAGAUUUAUUUGAACUUUUCUUGGCUUUUGUUGUAUUAGAAUGGUAAUGUUUACACAUAUAUUUGUGUAAAAUACAAAUAUAAUAGAGAAUAAAAAUUUUGCUAACUUUACACAAAAUACUGGCAUUCAAAAACAGUAAUUUUCCAUAACAAAACAACUGUUGUUCUCUUAUCCUUGUGCAACUUCCACAGCCUAUCGUCUUCAGCUUCGUAAACACCCCUAAUUUGGCUUGAAAGUCGGAAAACAUUUGCUGUACAAACAAAGGUGUUGAUUUAAACCAGUUUUGCAAACCUACGUCAGCUUUUAAUUGGUAGUUGUUGGGUUAUCCUGAAUAAACUUCAAUGAGAGGUGCUGCUAAGAUGUUUUGGUUAGUACAGCUGUAUGUAUAUACUGUAUAUCAAAGUUGUGACUUAAACAAGGAAAGGGCUGUACGUACUGUAUGCAGACUAGGUUUUAAGAGGACCCAUUUGUAUUAGUUUGAUUUUGUGCCAGUUUGUGUGUUUGAUUGCUGAUGUGCAUGGGAGGGUAACUCUUAAAAUGUGUGUCCAUUUCCCAUAAACAAGUAACAAAAGUCUCACACUGCUUUAGGUGAAGCAGGUUGAAGCAAAUAACCAGAAGUCCAACACGUUUAUGUGCUACUUAUUGAGCUACUUCCAGAGGAAGAUGAGCCUGAGCGGCCUGCAGAGACCCGGAAGCACUUCCCACACUCCUAUCAUGUGCUUAAGCCCCAUGCCGAGACAAGUCAGGACACAAAGGAGUACAGGAAAAACAUGAUGCUGUAACUAAAGAUCAGCGAUUCACUGAAUCGUGUAACUACUGCUAGUGGUGUUCGAUUCUCUCCAUGUCUGUUUUAGAAAACACGAUAGAAAGAAAAUAAACAUGCAUUCCAAAAUG